UACAGAGGGUGCGAGCGUUAAUCGGAAUUACUGGGCGUAAAGCGAGCGUAGUCGGUUAUUUAAGUCGGGUGUGAAAUCCCCGGGCUCAACCUGGGAAUUGCAUUCGAUACUGGAUAGCUAGAGUUCGGCAGAGGGAAGCGGAAUUUCCGGUGUAGCGGUGAAAUGCGUAGAUAUCGGAAGGAACAUCAGUGGCGAAAGCGGCUUCCUGGACCAGAACUGACGAUCAGGCUCGAAAGCGUGGGGAGCA
rnacentral:rRNA from 1 species